GUUCUUUUUUAUGUCAAAACCAAUUGUGCUUUUUGCUGAAGUUUUGUUUCUCUGUUAGGAACUAACUCUGAUUGCUGUGAAACUAACUACUGUAAGGUUUCUAUUCUCUGUAACCCUGAAUCUUAUCUUUUUGGCACUACUCCCGGACAAUAUUCCUAAUAUGGAAGUUCCGUCUUUGUUUCUCUUUCUCUGACUGUAGAAUGAAAUGUGUUAAUAUGAUAGGUUAAAUACAUAACUUACGAUGAUAUGCUAAUAAAGAGGGUAAAGCCCCCUCUAUAUAACCUGUGUGCAUUAAAAAUAAACCUCAGAGUGUUCAUUCAGUACAUCACUGUUGUGUCUUUUAUUACCUACUGAGUGAAGCGCUCUCCUGACGUCAGAAAAGGACUCAAACCAAGCCGAUACUAGAAGUUUGGUGCCAGGGGUACCAAGUGGGACGUUGAGAUUCCUAUCAGUUUGGGGGCUCGUGUCCGGGGAUCGAGAAGGUUUUCCUCGUGUUCGGUAAGAAAGGCAUCUGUUAUUGUCCUCUGGCCGAUCCGAGAACCACGUCUCGAUCUAGAACCCACCCACCCAUACAGGGUGGGGGAUGAGGUAGUGAUCAAAACACUGAAGAAAGGAAAAUCCCAAGGUGACUUCGCAUAUGGCCCACCCACUACCGUGGUCGCAGUAACCAGAACAGCCGUGCUGACUGAACAAUCUUCAACUUGGAUCCACACCACCCGAGUGAAGCUUGUGAGAGCAAGAGAGGAGGCAGGAACGGAGGCAGACAGCCUUGGCCUUGAAGAAGGACAAGAGGUACUAACGGGGGCAGACAGCCCUGACCUCCAACAAGGCCGAGAGGUACUAACGGGGGCAGACGGCCCUGACCUCCAACAUGAUGAGCUCCUCACUCUUUUCUGGAAAAUGGUUGAAUGUACUGACUAAGAUUGCUUCAAUUAUCUUGUUGAUUUUACCAAUUAGCAGUAUGGGAGAAGUAGCCGCAACUAGCAAGGGCGGCGUCAUCACCUUUUGGUAUAAUUCAUCUAACCCUCACGUAGCUACCUACACCUUUUGUCUUUGUGAUAUAUUGAAAACAUGUUCAUAUUAUAACUACUGUUCCAACAACUAUGUAGAAGGACAGGCCUAUAUAUGUGUAACAGACUCAUACUGGGGAAAAGGUUGUGCAUACUGGGGAUCAGUGGGAUGGAAUACAGGGACUGAAUGGGGAUAUAAACCAGAAAGUGCCCACAAAAGGAGGGAUAAAGAUUCUAAGUCCCUUUUGACUAGAAUGACACUCCUUGAGAGAGGGACGUGUUAUGUGGACACCUCCUCAUUGAAUUAUUGCAAAAAAAGGUCAGCGGAAAUGAAAAUUGUAUUCACAAUAGAAAACCCUGGUAAAUAUGAUGAAGGAGAUUAUGUAUUGGGAUGGUACUUCCAUAAAAUGUGGGGAGCUGCGACUUCCCGGGUAACACAAAUGUUCAGACUUAGAGAUAUGUAGAAGUCUAAGGAAUACCAACCCAUCACAGGUGUCCCCAAAAACCCACUAGUCCCACAUAUAGUUUCUUUAAAAAACCUAAGGGCCAUAUCUGAUCCCACAUAUGAGGAUACUUUGGCCAUGGGGACGGGUUUUUCUGAUGUUAAUUUGUGGCUGGAGUGGAUGAAGUAUAGUGCAGACUCUGUGAAUAAAAGUAACUGCUACAUAUGCGGUGCUGCCAAGCCACACCUAGGUACCGUACCCCUAGUGUUACCUCUGCCAAGCCACACCUAGGUACCGUACCCCUAGUGUUACCAGAAAGUGUUGAAGAAUGUUUUUUUGACUCUUUUUGUUAAUAUGUCUUAUAACCACAGUGCAUGUACAGAAUGGAAAUCAAAAUACCCUCUGUUGUUAAAAAAUCCUUGCCCUGGGGCAGGAAUCCAGGUAUAUCCAGGUAACUACACAUGUUACAAAGGGAGUACACAUGGGAGGAAUGUGCAGAAUUUCACCAAAGGUUAUUGUCACAAAUACAGCAAUCUGAACAUAUCCCUCACUCAGAACCAAGUAUACUCCAUAGGAGAUGUGUACUGGAUCUGUGGAGAUGGAAAAAUAAGAUCCAGACUGGACGGUGCCUGGAAAGGUGAAUGUGCGCUUGCCAAAGUUAUAAUGAACAUGCACAUUUUUACUGAAUCAGAUAUUAUAGAAAAAGGGGUGCUAAAGAUCAACAAAAGAAGCAGCCCCCUUUCAAGUUUUGAUCCCCAUGUGUAUAUAGAUGCAAUAGGUGUUCCAAGAGGGGUCCCAGAUGAGUUCAGAACUAGAGAUCAAGUAGCCGCCGGAUUUGAAUCAAUAUAUUUUCCAUCAUUACUGUGAAUAAAAAUGUGGAUUGGAUAAAUUACAUAUACUACAAUCAGCAAAGGUUUGUAAACUAUACUAGAGAUGCAUUUCAACGGGUAGCAGAAGAACUACAAGCAGACUCAAUCAUGACAUUCCAGAAUCCAACCUCCUGCUGCACAUACAUACCAAAUAAUACUGGCCCCACUGGUAAGGUCACAAUAGCUAUAAAAAAAGCUUGAAGAUCUGUCAAUAGAACUGAAAAAGAACUCAGGUAUAAAUAAUCCCUGGGAUCAAUACUUUGGGUGGUUCACAAGUUAGAAACAAGGUCUCAUGAAACUAGGGAUUGUCAUACUUAUAGUAAUUGUAGUAAUAGGUGUAGUAGCAUUAUGUGUUAUUCCUUGUGUGAGAUGAAUGCUAGAAAAAGGGCUCUCUAAUAUGUCACUAUAUCGGACUACUCUACCCCAGGAGGAUAGAAGCCCAGAUGGGUAUAAGAAUUACCUAAUAUCAUAUAGAGAGAGAAAGGACAAGAAAGGAAAGAACCAUGUAGUGUGACACACUAAAGGUUCUUAAGAGGGGAUUUGAAAGGAAUCCAUGUUCUUUUUUAUGUCAAAACCAAUUGUGCUUUUUGCUGAAGUUUUGUUUCUCUGUUAGGAACUAACUCUGAUUGCUGUGAAACUAACUACUGUAAGGUUUCUAUUCUCUGUAACCUUGAAUCUUAUCUUUUUGGCACUACUCCCGGACAAUAUUCCUAAUAUGGAAGUUCCGUCUUUGUUUCUCUUUCUCUGACUGUAGAAUGAAAUGUGUUAAUAUGAUAGGUUAAAUACAUAACUUACGAUGAUAUGCUAAUAAAGAGGGUAAAGCCCCCUCUAUAUAACCUGUGUGCAUUAAAAAUAAACCUCAGAGUGUUCAUUCAGUA